rnacentral:rRNA from 1 species
UACAGAGACUGCAAGCGUUAUUCGGAUUCACUGGGCGUAAAGGGUGCGCAGGCGGCCAAGUGUGUGAGGCGUGAAAGCCCGGGGCUCAACCCCGGGAUUGCAUUGGAAACUGUGAUGCUAGAGUGCAGGAGAGGUAAGUGGAAUUCCUAGUGUAGCGGUGAAAUGCGUAGAUAUUAGGAGGAACACCAGUGGCGAAGGCGGCUUACUGGACUGUAACUGACACUGAGGCUCGAAAGCGUGGGGAGCAAACAGG